UCUAACUCUGCUUAGCCCAUGAUGGUAUUUGGUGAGUGAUUUCUCCCAGUCCUUAUCUCAACUUGUGAACCCUUACUUAUAUUUUCUCUUCCCUGCACAGCUCCAGAGAAGACUGAGAGUGGCUUUGGUGGGUGUCUGGCAUCCAGCCAGCAGCAACCCACUAGACUGCAUCACAAAUUUGGGCCCAUGUCCAUCUUUGAAGUGCAAAUAAUGAUCUAGAUUGCAUCUCCUGCUUUGUUUGGGCUCUUUGACCUACGUGGAGUGAGUUGCUCCAGCUGAUACGAUUAUCUCAGUAUUUACCCCAGCUAAGGGCUGGCCUUCAUCACCUUCAGCAGGGAGGGUGCCUCUUCAGCUUGUCUGAUCCAGCACUGACCUGUCUGCUGUCAGGAAAACCCACAGAAGUAUGGGCCUGGCUCAGAGGAUCACAACCAACAAGCAAUACUCUGCCUGGAGGAUGCAACAAGAUAGGCACUGCAGGGGUCUGUCUUUAGGCCUGUGCUGCCUGACAUCGUUCUGAAUACCUGAAGGAGGUGCCAAAGGGCACC
rnacentral:lncRNA from 1 species